UGCGCAGGCGGACUUUUAAGUCAGUGGUGAAAUCCCGAGGCUCAACCUCGGAACUGCCAUUGAUACUGGAAGUCUUGAAUUUGGUUGAAGUGGGCGGAAUGUAGCAUGUAGCGGUGAAAUGCUUAGAUAUGCUACAGAACACCGAUCGCGAAGGCAGCUCACUAAGCCAAUAUUGACGCUCAGGCACGAAAGCGUGGGGAGCAAACAGGAUUAGAUACCCUGGUAGUC
rnacentral:rRNA from 1 species